rnacentral:rRNA from 2 species
CUCUGGUGAGACUGCCGGUGACAAACCGGAGGAAGGUGGGGAUGACGUCAAAUCAUCAUGCCCCUUAUGACCUGGGCUACACACGUGCUACAAUGGAUGGUACAACGAGUUGCGAACUCGCGAGAGUAAGCUAAUCUCUUAAAGCCAUUCUCAGUUCGGAUUGUAGGCUGCAACUCGCCUACAUGAAGUCGGAAUCGCUAGUAAUCGCGGAUCAGCAUGCCGCGGUGAAUACGUUCCCGGGCCUUGUACACACCGCCCGUCACACCAUGAGAGUUUGUAACACCCAAAGUCGGURGGGUAACCUUUUAGGAACCAGYCGCCUAAGGUGGGACAGAUGAUUAGGGUGAAGUCGUAACAAGGUAGCCGUAGGAGAACCUGCGGCUGGAUCACCUCCUUUCUAAGGAA